AGAUGCUAUCUGAAGAACAGAAAGGAAGAUAUCAUCAGAAGGCAAUGAAAAAUUGCAAACACCAAUCUGUUGCUCUUUACCAUCAUCUAAAGUGUAACAGCUAGAUGUAUUUAAAUCAGGAUCAAAAUCCUAGGCAAGUGACCCAACAAUCAUCAAAAUCAUUAUUAAAUAGUGAUGGUGGAUCAUUGAUAUUUUCAAUUGGAUUGAUUGAAUGUCCAAGAACUGAUAUUGCUACAGAUGUGGGAGUACUUGUUAGUAUUGGAGGAGAUCCACUUCCAGUCAAAUUUGCAGCCCGGCAGAUGCUGUCCACUUCUUUCUUUUCUAACAUCCUUCAAAUAAUUUAUUAUAUUCAUAGAUCUAUAUAAGUG
rnacentral:lncRNA from 1 species